rnacentral:rRNA from 1 species
GUGAACUGCGAAUGGCUCAUUAAAUCAGUUAUAGUUUAUUUGAUGGUACCUUGCUACAUGGAUAACUGUGGUAAUUCUAGAGCUAAUACAUGCGAUCAAGCCCCGACUUCCGGAAGGGGUGUAUUUAUUAGAUAAAAAACCAACGCGGUUCGCCGCUCCAUUGGUGACUCAUAAUAACUUCUCGAAUCGCACGGCCUUGCGCCGGCGAUGCUUCAUUCAAAUAUCUGCCCUAUCAACUUUCGAUGGUAGGAUAGUGGCCUACCAUGGUUUCAACGGGUAACGGGGAAUAAGGGUUCGAUUCCGGAGAGGGAGCCUGAGAAACGGCUACCACAUCCAAGGAAGGCAGCAGGCGCGCAAAUUACCCAAUCCCGACACGGGGAGGUAGUGACAAUAAAUAACAAUAUAGGGCUCUUUCGGGUCCUAUAAUUGGAAUGAGUACAAUUUAAAUCCCUUAACGAGGAACAAUUGGAGGGCAAGUCUGGUGCCAGCAGCCGCGGUAAUUCCAGCUCCAAUAGCGUAUAUUAAAGUUGUUGCAGUUAAAAAGCUCGUAGUUGAACUUCAGGCCUGGCCGGGCGGUCUGCCUCACGGUACGUACUGUCUGGCUGGGCCUUACCUCUUGGUGAGCCGGCAUGCCCUUUACUGGGUGUGUCGGGGAACCAGGACUUUUACCUUGAGAAAAUUAGAGUGUUCAAAGCAGGCCUAUGCCCGAAUACAUUAGCAUGGAAUAAUAAAAUAGGACGCGCGGUUCUAUUUUGUUGGUUUCUAGAGUCGCCGUAAUGAUUAAUAGGGAUAGUUGGGGGCAUUAGUAUUCAGUUGCUAGAGGUGAAAUUCUUGGAUUUACUGAAGACUAACUACUGCGAAAGCAUUUGCCAAGGAUGUUUUCAUUAAUCAAGAACGAAGGUUAGGGGAUCGAAAACGAUCAGAUACCGUUGUAGUCUUAACAGUAAACUAUGCCGACUAGGGAUCGGGCGAACUCAAUUUUAUGUGUCGCUCGGCACCUUACGAGAAAUCAAAGUCUUUGGGUUCUGGGGGGGAGUAUGGUCGCAAGGCUGAAACUUAAAGGAAUUGACGGAAGGGCACCACCAGGAGUGGAGCCUGCGGCUUAAUUUGACUCAACACGGGGAAACUCACCAGGUCCAGACAUGACUAGGAUUGACAGAUUGAUAGCUCUUUCAUGA